CACGAAACCAGAGGAAAAACCCGUGAGGCCCAGAUUGAUCAGCACAGAACUUAGCAACAGCACAACAGGCUGUGGCCAGCCGCCCUGGCCCGCUAGAGGGGCUUUCCGCCAGGCCCGGGGUUGGGGGACUGGGAGCUGGCUCCACCACCCCUGACAGGCUUGCAGGGCCCAAAGGCCCCCCACCACGGGCGUCAGGGUGGAGGCGCUGGAGCUCCUGCUGGAACCACAGGGCUCCCAGAGAUGGUCUGAAAUCCCGGCCUUCCCCACGCGCUCCCUUCUAUGGGGUCUGAGAGGAGAACGCUGACGGGCGUCCCCACGCGCAGCCGUGGUUCACUCUGCUGGUUGGGCAGCCAGGAGCUGACAAGGGCAUGGGGGACUUCUGAGUUUCAGAAACAUCCAGAUGGUCCGGCAUUUCUUGCAGCUGCCACCUGGCCUGGUUGAACCUGCUCGUGGCCUGGCCGCAGUGGCAGGGAGUUAGGGCUGACCCUUUCAGCUGGGGGCCUGGAGGAGCCGGUGAAGGGCCAGAGCCUGGGAUCGCAGCAGCCCCACAUCUGCGCGCCUGACUCACGGACUCUGACAUAGUGACGGUUUGUGCAGCUUGCUAAGGAGAGAGCACCCAGGCCUGUCCUCCAAGGGCCCCGUCUGAGGCCCCGUCUCAGAGGUGCGGCAGUAACAGGGUCCCUCUGGAGCCCCAGCCCCCAGGGGGGAGUCCCUGCCCCACCUACCAGUCUGUGGCCCGUGCACAGUUUCUCCUCCCUGAGUGUCACCGCUUCCUCGCCUGUGAGCUGGGAGGACUAAGUGACCAGCGUGGCUCGUUCCUGGCACCACAUACACUGCAGCCCUCAUUCUGCCCCCCGGUACAUAGUUGUGUAUUCUUCGUUGUGGGUCCUUCCAGCCGUGGCAUGUGGGACGCUGCCUCAGCGUGGUUUGAUGAGCAGUGCCAUGUCCGCGCCCAGGACCCGAACCAACGAAACACUGGGCCGCCUGCAGCGGAGCGCGCGAACCCAACCACUCGGCCACGGGGCCAGGCCCUCUAGCUCUUUUUUUAAGUUAAUAACUCAUCAAUAUUCUCAUGCUAAAUUUGUUCCAACGAGGUUGAAUCCCAGGCCCCGUGCGGCGAUGAUGGAAAGAGGAGCUGCCACCCGAAGCUGGGAGGAGAUGACGGGCAGUCAGCCGGUGGGGGAGCGGAUGGCUCUGUUCAAACCCCGGCCAGCCUACCCACGGGCUUUCGACGCCACAGCAGCCGGUCAGCGCCGUCCUCUGCUACCGAGCCGCAGGCUGGUAGUGCCGGGAUUCUGCCACUUCCACCGAAAGAUGGCUGAGUUUACCACCCUCAGAGCUUGUCGCAAAUCCAGACCCAACUCCCUGCACCAGCUGGGCAACAAAUUGUCUCAAGUUGGUAUGGACAGAGUUGUGUCCCCCACCCUUCGAUUCAUGUGUUGAUGUCCCAAACCCCCCCGGUACCUGGGAGGCAAUUGAGGUUAAAUGAGGUCAUCAGGUGGGCCCUGAAAGGAAGAAGUAGGGCCACCAGAGCUCUCCCCCUCCGCACGUGCUCAGAGGAAAGGCCACGCAGGGACACAGCAAGAAGGCAGGAGGAGGGGCCACCAGACACCAGCCUUGAUGACACCCUGAUCUUGGACUUCCAGUGCCUCCAGAACCGUGAGGACAUACAUUUCUGCUGUCUAAGCCACCCCGUCUGUGACACUCUGUUAUGGUAGCCCCAGCAGACUAAUGCACAAGUGUGGGAGCGCCCCUAAUGGCCAGGGGUGCAGUUUUAGCAGCAUUACAUUCUUUGUAUUUGAGGGGCUUUUCCUUUCCAAUUUUUAAAAUUGUAAUAACACAUAUAACAUAAAAUUUACCCUCU
ensembl:lncRNA